CAGCUGCCGAGCAGCCGGUACAGGCUUGCGGGCGGGGGCGCCGAGGUGGGCCCCGGUAGCGCCCUGCACCCGGGCCUCGCGCCCCGGCGAGGUUCGUGCCCGCGGCCGGCUACGCCGGGCUCGCUCCCCCAGUGCCCUGAGCCGGGCUGGCUGGGCGGGGCGGCGCCCUCCCUCCAGACCCCACGGGGUGCGGGUGUCUCUAAGGUGACACUCCGGUGCGCGGCAGCGGCGGCGGCGGGAGCACGCUCGCCGGCCGGGCUCCGGCUCCGCUCGCACCAGGCUCCGGCCGUCCGGGGGGCGCCCCGACCCUCUCCGAGGACUCCCCCCGGGGCGCGGGAGGAUCCCCGCCGGCCUCUCCCAGGCGUAGCGCCGCGCGGUUCCUGUCGUCUGAGCGCCGGCGUCGCGGGGGACAAGCGGGACCCUGCGCUUCCCUCGCUCCCCGCCCCGCGCCCCCGGCCCAGGCGGACCCGAGACUCUGAACUUUAGCAAGGAACCCCGCAAGGCCGCGGGAGCCUCGGGGAGAAGGCGGCCGCAGGAUGGCCG
rnacentral:lncRNA from 1 species